rnacentral:misc_RNA from 1 species
AACCUUAUGGACCUGCGGGCGUAUACCUGCGGAGGGAUCAUUAUAGAGUUUUCUAAACUCCCAACCCAUGUGAACUUACCUUUUGUUGCCUCGGCAGAGGUUAUAGGUCUUCUUAUAGCUGCUGCCGGUGGACCAUUAAACUCUUGUUAUUUUAUGUAAUCUGAGCGUCUUAUUUUAAUAAGUCAAAACUUUCAGCAACGGAUCU